UACUGACAUAUUCUCUUGCUGCCCAUCUGAUUUGUAUGAAAAAUAAGGUUGCGAGCCGUGUCAGUUUUCGGUAUGGACAGAAUGCCAAGGGACUGCUACAUACUGUAGAGCCACAGCAUCACCGAGUUGAAAAUAUUAACAGACAUUAAUUUCUUGAUGUUCUUCAAAAGAGUGAGGCUGGAUCCAGAGCACAUCAUUGCCUCAACAAACCGGGAGGACACAGGGAAUCAGGCAGGCCAGUCCUUUCCCCACAGCAUGGCGAGCAUCUCACAGAGACUCCUCCAGCUUAUUCCCCAGAUUGUACUCCCUCAUUCGCUGUGCCUUCCAGCCCACCAUGGCCAGGAAGAAGAUCCCUGUGGCUUUGUAACCCAUCUGGAGGCCCAGGUACCUGGCAGAGGAUAGGAGGGUGCUCUUCCACAUAACGCAGGAGGAAUCGAUGACCAUUCCAAAUAUGGCAGGAGCAGGUAGCCAAGCUUGGAAAGGAGAAAGGUCAUCCAUUAGUAACACAAAGCAGAGUUUACCAGUAUCCAUUGUGAUGCUUUUCUUUGUCAAUAUGUUAUAAGGCAAAAUUCUAUAAUUAAAUGGAGACCAGGUUCAUUGCUAUUUUCUAGUUUGGGUAAAUUAAGCUGAUUGUCGCUGGGGGGCGCUAUAGCACUGGAUUACACAUAGAGGUAAAUUCCAAAAGAGGGCAUUUCUAUACUGUUGCAAAUGCCUGAGUUAAUGUUUAUAGUUUAGCAGCUGGUACUAUGCUUUGACUCCAAUUAACCGAUAGUGGUACAACCUAUUUUUACCAUCUUUACCAUCUUUGACCCUCAAAAGUACCAUCUUUGUGCAAGAUGUUGUCAAGAUUAUAAUUAUUUUUUGCAUGUACUGAAAGAAGACUUUGUAAAGUCAAUGCCAGUCAGUACCUCAAGCAUCAAGGCAAGCAAAACAUUUAAUCAACAGCAAGCCAUAUUGUUUCAAUUUCAAUCAUUGUUUUAAGUAUUCCCUCUGAGAGAAAAUAACAGUCAAUGAAAAAAUUAGUCAAUGCUUUUCCACUGUUGUGCUUAAUCCACCAUUGAAUAAAGUCCGUCCUCAGUGAAAUAACA